AACGAACGCUGGCGGCAUGCCUAACACAUGCAAGUCGAACGAGACCUUCGGGUCUAGUGGCGCACUGGUGCGUAACGCGUGGGAACCUGCCCUUAGGUUCGGAAUAACUCCCCGAAAGGGGUGCUAAUACCGGAUAAUGUCUUCGGACCAAAGAUUUAUCGCCUUUGGAUGGGCCCGCGUUGGAUUAGCUAGUUGGUAGGGUAAAAGCCUACCAAGGCGACGAUCCAUAGCUGGUCUGAGAGGAUGAUCAGCCACACUGGGACUGAGACACGGCCCAGACUCCUACGGGAGGCAGCAGUGGGGAAUAUUGGACAAUGGGCGAAAGCCUGAUCCAGCAAUGCCGCGUGAGUGAUGAAGGCCUUAGGGUUGUAAAGCUCUUUUACCCGGGAUGAUAAUGACAGUACCGGGAGAAUAAGCGCCGGCUAACUCCGUG
rnacentral:rRNA from 1 species